rnacentral:tRNA from 1 species
GCUCCCUUAGCUCAACAGGAUAGAGCAGCCGACUUCUAAUCGGCAGGUUCGGGGUUCGAGUCCUCGAGGGAGCGCCA